AGUGAACGCUGGCGGUAGGCCUAACACAUGCAAGUCGAACGGCAGCACAGUAAGAGCUUGCUCUUACGGGUGGCGAGUGGCGGACGGGUGAGGAAUACAUCGGAAUCUACUUUUUCGUGGGGGAUAACGUAGGGAAACUUACGCUAAUACCGCAUACGACCUACGGGUGAAAGCAGGGGAUCUUCGGACCUUGCGCGAUUGAAUGAGCCGAUGUCGGAUUAGCUAGUUGGCGGGGUAAAGGCCCACCAAGGCGACGAUCCGUAGCUGGUCUGAGAGGAUGAUCAGCCACACUGGAACUGAGACACGGUCCAGACUCCUACGGGAGGCAGCAGUGGGGAAUAUUGGACAAUGGGCGAAAGCCUGAUCCAGCCAUACCGCGUGGGUGAAGAAGGCCUUCGGGUUGUAAAGCCCUUUUGUUGGGAAAGAAAAGAAGCAGGUUAAUACCCGGCUGUUCUGACGGUACCCAAAGAAUAAGCACCGGCUAACUUCGUG
rnacentral:rRNA from 1 species